rnacentral:rRNA from 1 species
GACGAACGCUGGCGGCGUGCCUAAUACAUGCCAGUUGAGCGCUGAAGGUUGGUACUUGUACCGACUGGAUGAGCAGCGAACGGGUGAGUAACGCGUGGGGAAUCUGCCUUUGAGCGGGGGACAACAUUUGGAAACGAAUGCUAAUACCGCAUAAAAACUUUAAACACAAGUUUUAAGUUUGAAAGAUGGAAUUGCAUCAAUCAAAGAUGAUCCCGCGUUUUAUUAGCUAGUUGGUGAGGUAAAGGCUCACCAAGGCGAUGAUACAUCACCGACCGGAGAGGGUGAUCGGCCACAUUGGGAAUGAGACACGGCCCAAACUCCUACGGGAGGCAGCAGUAGGGAAUCUUCGGCAAUGGACGGAAGUCUGACCGGGCAACGCCGCGUGAGUGAAGAAGGUUUUCGGAUCGUAAAACUCUGUUGGUAGAGAAGAACGUUGGUGAGAGUGGAAAGCUCAUCAAGUGACGGUAACUACCCAGAAAGGGACGGCUAACUACGUG